UACGUAGGGUGCGAGCGUUAAUCGGAAUUACUGGGCGUAAAGCGCGCGUAGGCGGCUUUGCAAGUCGGGUGUGAAAUCCCCAGGCUUAACCUGGGAACUGCAUUCGAGACUGCAUUGCUAGAGUAUGGGAGAGGGAAGUGGAAUUUCCGGUGUAGCGGUGAAAUGCGUAGAUAUCGGAAGGAACAUCAGUGGCGAAAGCGACUCCUGGACCAAUACUGACGCUCAUGUGCGAAAGCGUGGGGAGCAAACAGG
rnacentral:rRNA from 1 species